UGCGUAGGUGGCCAUGUAAGCGCGGGGUGAAAGGCAAUAGCUUAACUAUUGUAAGCCUUGCGAACUGUGUGGCUUGAGUGCAGGAGAGGAAAGUGGAAUUCCUAGUGUAGCGGUGAAGUGCGUAGAUAUUAGGAGGAACACCAGUGGCGAAGGCGACUUUCUGGACUGUAACUGACACUGAGGCACGAAAGCGUGGGGAGCAAACA
rnacentral:rRNA from 1 species